UGAUGGUUGUGAAGUGGAAUUUAAGGAGAGUUAUUGUUUUGUUAGGCUGUAGUUGUAUCUAUAUAACCAGAACCUCCGUCAAAACUCUGGUCCAGUUCACAACGUGGACAUGUAGAACUACUUUGUGUAAACAGGAGAUUCACAUAACAAUGUUAGUAGUGGUUUCCUAGGGUUUGUCGCAAAUGGCUCCCUAUUCACUAUCUAGUGCACUUCUUCUGGUCAAAAGUAGUGCACUACUAUAGGGAACAGUGUGUCAUUUGGGACACACUAUAACACUCAGAUUGACAGUAUUGUUCUAACUCUCUUGUCUUGUUCUUAACGUAGAGCUUUGGGUCGUACCAUUUUGGGGAGUUUGAUCUGAGUGCUGUACAGAUUUCCCAGAGGUAUUCUACCGACUGCACCGGUUUCUACACCUCCGCUGGCCUUCUGAACUUCUCCUGACCACCUCUCCCCUGAACGUUCCCUCAGGUGAGAGAGAGAGAGAGAGGUAAAAAGAGAGAGAGAGGUAAAGAGAGAGAGAGAGGUAAAGAGAGAGAGAGGUAAAGAGAGAGAGAGAGGUAAAGAGAGAGAGAGGUAAAGAGAGAGAGAGGUAAAGAGAGAGAGAGAGGUAAAGAGAGAGAGGAGGAGAGAGAGAACACAACAGUGGUUUUUACAUUGAUUACCUUUACUGUAAAUUGUUGUACAUUUUAAGUGGUCAGUUUUCAGUAAUUUACAACUUUUUUGACAGUUGUUUGACAGACGAGGUAAAUCUCAGCAAUUAUGGUAAAUUUCCUCAAAAAUCAGAAGUGUAAAUCCCUCUUCAGGCAGGACAUCAAAGCACUCUACUGUUGGCCAGCAGAGGGCUCUAUCAGGCUUUAUUAUAGUGUGGAGGAGGCAGGGAGCAUUCUCUCGUCUGUGUGUGUGUGUGCAGGCAUUUUGAGGGGCAGUGACACUGUUGUCUGUCACUUCCCUGUCAGCGCUGUUGUCUGUCCCCCCCCUGUCAGUGCUGUUG
ensembl:lncRNA